AGAUCCUCCACCGUGACCUAGCGACCCGGAACGUUCUUGUGUCUGCAGACCGGACCUGUAAGGUGUCAGACUUCGGCUUCUCACGGGAGGGGGAUGAGUACGAAAGGACCACUAAGACCCGCCUGCCUAUCCGCUGGAUGGCCCCCGAGUCGCUGUUCCACCGGAAGUACACCACCAAGACGGACGUCUGGGCCUUUGGAGUGCUGCUCUGGGAGAUCGUCACACUGGGUGCCACCCCGUACCCCGGUAUGUCCAAACGAGGCGUGAUGGACGGAGUUCAGCAGGGAUACAGGAUGGACAAGCCAAAGCACUGUGAUGAGAA